rnacentral:rRNA from 1 species
UGGUGGAGUGAUUUGUCUGGUUAAUUCCGAUAACGAACGAGACCUUAACCUGCUAAAUAGCCAGGCCGGCUUUUGCUGGUCGCCGGCUUCUUAGAGGGACUGUCAGCGUCUAACUGACGGAAGUUUGAGGCAAUAACA